UAAAUCAUAUGGAAGUUUCCUUGUUUUAAUGUGUUAAAAACUCAUACCUAAGGUGUAACGACCCUGGAAAUUUAAAAAAAGGAAAUGUAUGUAAAAAUUUUGAAUGCGGAAGCGAAAUAAAAAGUUCUGAUUAAUAUCCCUUACACAAUAACUGAAACGUACUAACAAUAUGAAAGAAUAAUUUAACUAAAAGAAAUACUAGAAAUGAAAUACUAUAAGGAAAACUAUAAAAUAUUUAGGCAUCUACUCGCCGUCUUCCUGCGGAAUGGGCUCGG
rnacentral:lncRNA from 1 species